rnacentral:misc_RNA from 1 species
CAUCUGGGGCGUCAAUACGAG